rnacentral:rRNA from 1 species
UACGUAGGGUGCAAGCGCUAAUCGGAAUUACUGGGCGUAAAGCGUGCGCAGGCGGUUCGCUAAGACAGAUGUGAAAUCCCCGGGCUUAACCUGGGAACUGCAUUUGUGACUGGCGGGCUAGAGUAUGGCAGAGGGGGGUAGAAUUCCACGUGUAGCAGUGAAAUGCGUAGAGAUGUGGAGGAAUACCGAUGGCGAAGGCAGCCCCCUGGGCCAAUACUGACGCUCAUGCACGAAAGCGUGGGGAGCAAACAGG